rnacentral:rRNA from 1 species
GACGGAGGAUGCAAGCGUUAUCCGGAAUUAUUGGGCGUAAAGCGUCCGCAGGUGGCUGUUCAAGUCUGCUGUCAAAGCGCAGAGCUUAACUCUGUACAGGCGGUGGAAACUGAAGCGCUAGAGUGUGGUAGGGGUAGAGGGAAUUCCCGGUGUAGCGGUGAAAUGCGUAGAGAUCGGGAAGAACAUCGGUGGCGAAGGCGGGUCUCUGGGCCGUAACUGACGCUGAGGAGCGAAAGCAUGGGGAGCGAACAGG